ACAAGUACUUGUAAUUCUCAAGUAUUUUGAAUUUUAAAUUGGCAGAUGAGAAUGUAUGGCAUUUAUUUGUUAAAAUUCCACCAUAAAGAGUCUCUUUAUAAUACCUUUCAUGAAUGUAGCCCAUUUUUCAAGUGGGUGAAUUGGCUGCUCGUCAUGUAAACAAUGUGUUACUGAAAUGUUGAUGCAUUACUCCUAUGGAGUAAACACCCUGGGGAGGCGGGGUGCUGGAUUUGCAAUGCAGACGUAAGGAUGCAGAACUGGACUGCCACUCAGUGGUGCUGGUGAUCAUCAGUUCUUCAACCACUACCCAUUGGCACUGACGUGGUUGAACACAGCUACAUAAUCAACCAGGGGCAGACAUUCUUCAGUCAAGUUCAACUAAGUGGCCCACAAGGGAGCUGUCUCUGUUGUCCAAGCUAGCAAGAUACAUUUAUGAGCCAGCACCAGUAAAUAAAGAAGGCAAGCUACAUCUGUCCUCCAGCACUUGAGGUCACUGAGCAAUUCCAGAACCACCUCAAUUCUCAGAGGACACGUCUUCUGAGCAGCACAGGGGAUAGAGGGUGUCAUAUCCCUCAUUCUUCUGGGCCACUGAUGGCGUAGCAGCCAUUUACAGCAUUUCUUGGUGGAAAGCAAGCAGAUACGGACCUCUUCCAGCCAGAAGAAUGUGCUGACCUUAUGGAAAAAAGCAUGAUUGUGCAUCUGACAAUUAUAAAAAGGCAAGAAACCUCCUUCAUUACAGAUAAUCAGUGAAAGCCAUUUGAAACUUAAACUUUUACUAGAAGUGUUUAAAUAAUCAUUAAAAUAAUUAUCGUCAAACUUUAUUCCCAUGCAUGCCAUGUGACCCAGCAUUCAGGAUUUUAAGAAGAAUCAAGC